rnacentral:rRNA from 1 species
UUGCUAGUAAUGGCAGGUCAGCAUACUGCCGUGAAUACGUUCCCGGGCCUUGUACACACCGCCCGUCACACCAUGAGAGUUGGAGAUACCCGAAGCCUGUGAGCUAACUUUUUAAGAGGNAGCGGUCGAAGGUAGAAUCAAUGAUUGGGGUGAAGUCGUAACAAGGUAAC